rnacentral:rRNA from 1 species
AAUUCGCCCUUGUGCCAGCCGCCGCGGGUAAUACGGAGGAGGCAAGCGUUAUCCGGAAUUAUUGGGCGUAAAGCGUCCGCAGGGGGCGCAUCAAGUCUGCUGUUAAAGGUCGGAGCUAAACUCCGGUAGAGCAGUGGAAACUGGUGCGCUAGAGGGCGACAGGGGUAGAGGGAAUCCCCAGUGUAGCGGUGAAAUGCGUAGAGAUUGGGAGAACACCGGUGGCGAAAGCGCUCUACUGGGUCGCACCUGACCCUCAGGGACGAAAGCUAAGGUAGCGAAAGGGAUUAGAUACCCCUGUAGUCUUAGCCGUAAACGAUGGAUACUAGGCGUGGUUUGUAUCGACCCAAGCCGUGCCGAAGCUAACGCGUUAAGUAUCCCGCCUGGGGAGUACGCACGCAAGUGUGAACUCAAAGGAAUUGACGGGGGCCCGCACAAGCGGUGGAGGAUGUGGUUUAAUUCGAUGCAACGCGAAGAACCUUACCAGGGCUUGACAUCCCGCGAAUCUCUCGGAAAGGAGAGAGUGGCUACGGGAACGCGGAGACAGGUGGUGCAUGGCUGUCGUCAGCUCGUGUCGUGAGAUGUUGGGUUAAGUCCCGCAACGAGCGCAACCCUCGUCCUUAGUUGCCAGCAUUAAGUUGGGCACUCUAGGGAGACUGCCGGUGACAAACCGGAGGAAGGUGAGGAUGACGUCAAGUCAGCAUGCCCCUUAUGCUCUGGGCAACACACGUCCUACAAUGGUCGGGACAAAGGGGAGCAAGCUCGCGAGAGUAAGCGAAUCCCAGCAAACUCGGCCUCAGUUCAGAUAGCAGGCUGCAACUCGCCUGCUUGAAGGAGGAAUCGCUAGUAAUCGCAGGUCAGCAUACUGCGGUGAAUUCGUUCCCGGGCCUUCUACACACCGCCCGUCAAGG